UGUGCACCCUCCGUUAGUUCCAUGGCCUGGGUGGGCUCUGUCCUCCUGGCGUGGUUCUACGUCUUUACACACACACUACAACAAAGUCUUAUGGAAUGUAUGUCGCGUUUAACGCAAUGAAAUACAACUUUCAGCAACGGAUCUCUUGGCUCUCGCAUCGAUGAAGAACGCAGCGAAAUGCGAUAAGUAAUGUGAAUUGCAGAAUUCAGUGAAUCAUCGAAUCUUUGAACGCACCUUGCGCCCUUUGGCUAUUCCGAAGGGCAUGCCUGUUUGAGUAUCAUGAACACCUCAACUCUCAUGGCUUGCCAUGAUGAGCUUGGACUUUGGGGGUCUUGUUGGCCUGUGAGCCAGCUCCUCUUAAAUGAAUUAGCUUGCCGGUGUUUGGUGGCGUCACGGGUGUGAUAACUAUCUACGCUUGUGGUUUCCCACCAGGUAACCUUCAGCAAUGGAGGUUCGCCGGAGCUUAUAAAUGUCUCUCCUCGGUGAGGACACAUUUUGACCAUUUGAUCUCAAAUCAGGUAGGACUACCCGCUGAACUUAAGCAUAUCAAUAAGCCGGAGGAA
rnacentral:rRNA from 1 species